AUCCAGCCGACGAUUCCCAAAUAGGACGAAACACGCUUCCUGGAU
rfam:Schistosoma curassoni strain Dakar, Senegal genome assembly, scaffold: SCTD_scaffold0006421